rnacentral:rRNA from 1 species
GGGGAAUAUUGGGCAAUGGAGGAAACUCUGACCCAGCAACGCCGCGUGGAGGAAGAAGGUUUUCGGAUCGUAAACUCCUGUCCUUGGAGACGAGUAGAAGACGGUAUCCAAGGAGGAAGCCCCGGCUAACUACGUGCCAGCAGCCGCGGUAAUACGUAGGGGGCAAGCGUUGUCCGGAAUAAUUGGGCGUAAAGGGCGCGUAGGCGGCUCGGUAAGUCUGGAGUGAAAGUCCUGCUUUUAAGGUGGGAAUUGCUUUGGAUACUGUCGGGCUUGAGUGCAGGAGAGGUUAGUGGAAUUCCCAGUGUAGCGGUGAAAUGCGUAGAGAUUGGGAGGAACACCAGUGGCGAAGGCGACUAACUGGACUGUAACUGACGCUGAGGCGCGAAAGUGUGGGGAGCAAACAGGAUUAGAUACCCUGGUAGUCCACACUGUAAACGAUGAAUGCUAGGUGUAGGGGGUAUCGACCCCUUCUGUGCCGCAGUCAACACAAUAAGCAUUCCGCCUGGGGAGUACGGCCGCAAGGUUGAAACUCAAAGGAAUUGACGGGGGCCCGCACAAGCAGCGGAGCAUGUGGUUUAAUUCGACGCAACGCGAAGAACCUUACCAGGUCUUGACAUCCACUUAAACUUACAGAGAUGUAAGGUGUGCUUGCACAAAGUGAGACAGGUGGUGCAUGGUUGUCGUCAGCUCGUGUCGUGAGAUGUUGGGUUAAGUCCCGCAACGAGCGCAACCCUUAUCUUCAGUUACUAACGCGUGAAGGCGAGGACUCUGAAGAGACUGCCGGGGACAACUCGGAGGAAGGUGGGGACGACGUCAAAUCAUCAUGCCCCUUAUGACCUGGGCUACACACGUGCUACAAUGGCCACGACAGAGAGAAGCGAAAUCGUAAGGUAGAGCGGAACUCAAAAAAGUGGUCCCAGUUCGGAUUGUGGGCUGCAACCCGCCCACAUGAAGUCGGAGUUGCUAGUAAUCGCGGAUCAGCAUGCCGCGGUGAAUACGUUCCCG